rnacentral:rRNA from 1 species
AGCAUAUCAAUAAGCGGAGGAAAAGAAACCAACAGGGAUUGCCCCAGUAACGGCGAGUGAAGCGGCAAGAGCUCAAAUUUGAAAGCUGGCCCCCUCGGGGUCCGCAUUGUAAUUUGCAGAGGAUGCUUCGGGAGUGGCCCCCAUCUAAGUGCUCUGGAACGGGCCGUCAUAGAGGGUGAGAAUCCCGUAUGGGAUGGGGUGUCCGCGACCAUGUGAAGCUCCUUCAACGAGUCGAGUUGUUUGGGAAUGCAGCUCUAAAUGGGUGGUAAAUUUCAUCUAAAGCUAAAUAUUGGCCGGAGACCGAUAGCGCACAAGUAGAGUGAUCGAAAGAUGAAAAGCACUUUGAAAAGAGAGUUAAAAAGCACGUGAAAUUGUUGAAAGGGAAGCGCUUGCGACCAGACUCGCCUGCGGGGUUCAGCCGGUAUUCGUACCGGUGUACUUCCCCGUGGGCGGGCCAGCGUCGGUUUGGGCGGCCGGUCAAAGGCCCUCGGAAUGUAACGCCUCUCGGGGCGUCUUAUAGCCGAGGGUGCCAUGCGGCCAGCCCGGACCGAGGAACGCGCUUCGGCACGGACGCUGGCAUAAUGGUCGUAAGCGACCCGUCUUGAAACACGGACCAAGGAGUCUAACAUCUACGCGAGUGUUCGGGUGUCAAACCCGUGCGCGCAGUGAAAGCGAACGGAGGUGGGAACCCUCACGGGUGCACCAUCGACCGAUCCUGAUGUCUUCGGAUGGAUUUGAGUAAGAGCGUAGCUGUUGGGACCCGAAAGAUGGUGAACUAUGCCUGAAUAGGGCGAAGCCAGAGGAAACUCUGGUGGAGGCUCGCAGCGGUUCUGACGUGCAAAUCGAUCGUCAAAUUUGGGUAUAGGGGCGAAAGACUAAUCGAACCAUCUAGUAGCUGGUUCCUGCCGA